AUUGAACGCUGGCGGCAGGCCUAACACAUGCAAGUCGAGUGCGAAAGUCUUCGGAUGAGUAAAGCGGCGAACGGGUGAGUAACGCGUGGGAAUCUGCCCAGUAGUGGGGGACAACAGUCGGAAACGGCUGCUAAUACCGCAUACGCCCUACGGGGAAAGGGGGGAGUCUUCGGACCUCUCGCUAUUGGAUGAGCCCGCGU
rnacentral:rRNA from 1 species